ensembl:snoRNA SNORA62 Small nucleolar RNA SNORA62/SNORA6 family
GCUGCACACUGUUAAAGCUCGGGUGGAGGCCUGUCUUGGCUCGUGAACUUCCGAGUGUCGGAGGUGUGCUACAGUAAUGGCAAGGGUGCUCGCUAACCCCAGCAGAGCUUGCCUCUGUGGCUGGAGUUUGGUAGGACUCGCUGCUACAUAC